AAUGGGCGCAAGCCUGACCCAGCCAUGCCGCGUACAGGAUGAAGGCGCUAUGCGUUGUAAACUGUUUUUGUACAGGAAGAAACCCAUCUACGUGUAGGUGGUUGACGGUACUGUAAGAAUAAGCAUCGGCUAACUCCGUGCCAGCAGCCGCGGUAAUACGGAGGAUGCAAGCGUUAUCCGGAUUCAUUGGGUUUAAAGGGUGCGUAGGCGGAAUACUAAGUCAGUGGUGAAAUCCUGCAGCUUAACUGUAGAACUGUCAUUGAUACUGGUAUUCUUGAAUGCAGCUGAGGUAGGCGGAAUGUGUAAUGUAGCGGUGAAAUGCUUAGAUAUUACACAGAACACCGAUUGCGAAGGCAGCUUACUAAACUGUGAUUGACGCUGAGGCACGAAAGCGUGGGGAGCAAA
rnacentral:rRNA from 1 species